rnacentral:rRNA from 1 species
UCCAGACUCCUACGGGAGGCAGCAGUGGGGGAUAUUGCACAAUGGGGGGAACCCUGAUGCAGCGACGCCGCGUGGGUGAAGGAGCGUUUCGGCGCGUAAAGCCCUAUCGGCAGGGAAGAAGGAGGACGGUACCUGACUAAGAAGCCCCGGCUAACUACGUGCCAGCAGCCGCGGUAAUACGUAGGGGGCAAGCGUUAUCCGGAUUUAAUGGGUGUAAAGGGGGCGCAGACGGCAGCGCAAGCCAGGAGUGAAAGCCCGGGGCCCAACCCCGGGACUGCUCUUGGAACUGCGCGGCUGGAGUGCAGGAGGGGCAGGCGGAAUUCCUGGUGUAGCGGUGAAAUGCGUAGAUAUCAGGAGGAACACCGGUGGCGAAGGCGGCCUGCUGGACUGCGACUGACGUUGAGGCCCGAAAGCGUGGGGAGCAAACAGGAUUAGAUACCCGAGUAA